rnacentral:rRNA from 1 species
GAUGAACGCUGGCGGCGUGCCUAAUACAUGCAAGUCGAGCGAACAGGUAAGGAGCUUGCUCCUUUGACGUUAGCGGCGGACGGGUGAGUAACACGUGGGUAACCUACCUAUAAGACUGGAAUAACUCCGGGAAACCGGGGCUAAUGCCGGAUAACAUGUUGAACCGCAUGGUUCUACAGUGAAAGGCGGCUUUGCUGUCACUUAUAGAUGGACCCGCGCCGUAUUAGCUAGUUGGUGAGGUAACGGCUCACCAAGGCAACGAUACGUAGCCGACCUGAGAGGGUGAUCGGCCACACUGGAACUGAGACACGGUCCAGACUCCUACGGGAGGCAGCAGUAGGGAAUCUUCCGCAAUGGGCGAAAGCCUGACGGAGCAACGCCGCGGGAGUGAUGAAGGUCUUCGGAUCGUAAAACUCUGUUAUUAGGGAAGAACAAAUGCGGAAGUAACUGGGCGCGUCUUGACGGUACCUAAUCAGAAAGCCACGGCUAACUACGUG